UGCAGAUCUCUGUGCUGCGUGGAACAGGAGUUGCCUAAGUGGCACCGGGCUCAGCCAUGUGCUAAAAUCACAGCCUGAGCAGGCUCUCUGAGCUUUAUUGUCAACUUUACAUGAUAAAGAUAACAGCAGCUUCCUUGAAGACUGCUUUAAGAAUUGCAGAUUCAUCAUUUACUACUUCCUGUCACCAUGUGAAGAAGGAUGUGUUUGCUUCACCUUCUGCCAUAAUUGUAAUUUUCCUGAGGCCUCCCCAACCUUGCAGAACUGAUACAAUAUGGAGAAGUACCUUUAAGUGAAUACUUGCAAGUAAAUGCUAAGACAGCCUGUCAUCAUUCAGGGUAAGAUCCUAAUAAGAAAACUGCAGCAC
rnacentral:lncRNA from 1 species